AAACUUCAUCUUCCUCCUCUUCUUCAUCAUCACCACACCAUCUUCUAUUAUCUCU
rnacentral:sRNA from 1 species